GACGAACGCUGGCGGCGUGCUUAACACAUGCAAGUCGAACGGAAAGGCCCUGCUUUUGUGGGGUGCUCGAGUGGCGAACGGGUGAGUAACACGUGAGUAACCUGCCCUUGACUUUGGGAUAACUUCAGGAAACUGGGGCUAAUACCGGAUAGGAGCUCCUGCUGCAUGGUGGGGGUUGGAAAGUUUCGGCGGUUGGGGAUGGACUCGCGGCCUAUCAGCUUGUUGGUGGGGUAGUGGCUUACCAAGGCUUUGACGGGUAGCCGGCCUGAGAGGGUGACCGGCCACAUUGGGACUGAGAUACGGCCCAGACUCCUACGGGAGGCAGCAGUGGGGAAUAUUGCACAAUGGGCGGAAGCCUGAUGCAGCAACGCCGCGUGCGGGAUGACGGCCUUCGGGUUGUAAACCGCUUUCGCCUGUGACGAAGCGUGAGAGACGGUAAUGGGUAAAGAAGCACCGGCUAACUACGUG
rnacentral:rRNA from 1 species